CAUGUGGCGUGUUUUAAGAUUUCGGUUACUAAUUUCGCGUUCCUUUUGCGUUAAAGCAGAUAAUUGCGUUAAAUCGGAGGCGAGAAAAAAUCCCGGCACACGCAUAAGAGAGGGAAAAGCAGAAAUAAUAUUAACUCAAGAUGCAUUCUAUAAUCCUGUGCAGGAGUUCAAUAGGGAUUUAAGUGUUGCCGUUAUCAAAGAAUUUAUUAAGAAUUAUGUACCAAAAAAUAUUAAAUGUUUAAAUAAUGAUGUUGCAGAUGGAGGCAGUAAGGGCAGAAUUCAUAUUUUAGAAGCUCUGGCAGCUUCUGGAUUGCGAUCCAUCAGAUAUGCUAAAGAGAUUCCGGGAGUCAGUACCGUGACAGCAAAUGAUAGAUCCGAAACUGCGGUGGAAGAUAUUAAACAAAAUAUUAAACUGAAUGAAGUGGAUCAUACUGUCAUACCAAAUUGUGAAGAUGCUGUGCUAUUGAUGUAUAAGCAUAGAAGUUUCCAAAAUCAGUUUCAUGUAGUCGAUUUGGAUCCUUAUGGGAGUCCUUCGUCUUUUCUUGAUGCUGCUGUGCAGUGCAUUUCUGACAAAGGUCUGCUGUUGGUGACUUGUACGGAUACAGCAAAUUUGUGUGGACGCUUCAGAAGAAAGUGUCAUGCCAUUUACGGAUCGCUCUCACUUCGAAUGUCGAGCUGCCACGAGAUGGCACUAAGAAUAAUUCUUCGGAGUAUCGAACUUCAUGCCAAUCGCUAUGGUCGUCACAUAAUGCCACUUGUCUCCGUGCAUGCAGAUUUCUACAUUAGGGUAUUCGUAAAAGUCUGCAAGAGCCCUAACAAUGCAAAUAAAAGCAUAGAAAAAUUGGCAAUGGUUUAUAAUUGCACUGGUUGUGGAACCUUUCAUUUGCAACAUUUGUCAGAGACCAUGGAUGGAGAGGAAAUUCCUGUGUUGCCGCAACCACCUCCAGCAUUGUGUGAGCAUUGUGGAUGCAAGUUUCAGUUGGCGGGACCAAUUUGGACAGAUAAUCUCCACGAUAAAGAUUUUGUUGGUGAACUUUUGAAGACCGUGAAAAGUGAAAAGAAUAAUUACGGCACAACCGAAAGAAUGAUAGGCAUUCUUUCAGUCAUUUCCGAGGAACUAGAUAAUUGUCCUCUGUAUUAUCGUUUACCACAUUUGCUAUCUGUCAUUGCCUCCUCUCAGCCAAGUCUCUUCACAUUCAGGUCUGCAUUACUAAAUGCCGGCUACCGAGCUUCUCUAUCUCACACCUGUAGAGAUUCACUAAAGACGGAUGCCCCGAGCGAGGUCAUCUGGGACGUGGUGAGAAGUUGGGCAAAACUAAACCCAGUUAAGAGAGAUAUAACUGGUACUCCAGGAGAAGCCAUACUCAAGAAAAACAUUAAUACACCGAUAAAUUUUGAUCCUCAUCCGGAAGCGGAGCCGUUGUCUAGAUCUCUGAAACUUGUGAGAUUUCAGCAUAAUCCCAAACCUCACUGGGGACCAAAAACCAAAAUUAAACAAAGGAAAAAAGACAAAAGUUGAAUAUCGUAGAACAUGAGUCAGUCAUUAAGAAUAAUGAUUUCCCAGUAAGUGCUUCUGUAGCAAGGAUAUGUUGUGGCAUUUAACGAGUCGCAAAAUGCAGAGAUUCCACUGACGUCACCUCUUUUUAAACCCAUACUUUUUCCGCUCAUAAAACAGAUCGGUCUUCGAGCUUCCUAGGUUGACUAUCUUCGGACAGCCGUCUCUCUGCAAUUAAAAGUAAAAUAGUUAAAACAGAGCACAGACAAUAAUCAAAUGUCCUUAUUACGAGUAUCAUCAUUCUUAAUUUAUUUACAUUUGUAAUUUAGCAAGUAUGCUUGUCCUAAGGAAAUAAAAUAAAUUUAAUGUACGAAAUUUAUGAUGCAUUCUAUUUACAUGAAACUACUUUGAAUUUUUAAUGCUAUUUAAAAUGGAAGAAGAGACAGAAGUAGCCAUGCCAGACACAAUAAAAACUGAUAAUUGGUUACGGCAUGAGUUACACCACCUUAAAAUAAACUGCAACCUUUUUUCACUUGCCAGUGCAUAUAAAAACCUAAUAUUACUAAAAAUGAGUGUAUACUAGCAUUAGAUCUAAAUGAAACAAAAACCCAAAACUCUCAUUAUUUAAAAGCAAGGCAAGUGCCAAACAGAAAUAUAUGGCAGAGUUCCAUACAAUGCGAAGGAUACGUUCUGCGUUACAGAAAAUCACAUUAUCAAGACAUGUAUUAUCAGACUAUUUUACUCAAGUUUAAACUUAGGCAUAGAAGUUGAAGAAGAAACUGUAUACCUGUGGACAACAAAACAAAGUUUGUGCGAGUACUAGUUGCAAUUCUUUCACUGCAUUACUGGGGAGCACAUUAUACAGGAGUUCACCAUAAUUGAAAAGCAUCAUAUAGAUUGAGUAAACUGAUGUAAAAUCAAGGAAACUAUAAAUGAAAAUGGAUUUAUGCUAUAAAAUUAUAUCUAACUAGUCAUAGCACCUAGUGUUGUCCUAAGAAAUGUAAUAAAAAUGCCAUAAUUUCAUUUUAGUAGAAAAUAGCAUGUAAUUAACACUACAAGCACAUGGUCUGUGUAACGUAAAC
rnacentral:misc_RNA from 1 species